rnacentral:rRNA from 1 species
GGAUUCCCCUAGUAACGGCGAGUGAACGGGGAAAAGCCCAACACCGAAUCCCUCAGCGCAAGUUGACGGGAAAUGUGGUGUUAAGGUGGCCCUUCGUGCUGAAUCAGGUGUCUUAAGUCCACCUGAUUGUGGCUCAAGCCCAGAGAGGGUGUAAGGCCCGUAGAGGCACUUGAUUCAGUACCCGGGGUUUACCUACGAGUCGGCUUGUUUGGGAAUGCAGGCCAAAGCGGGUGGUAAACUCCAUCCAAGGCUAAAUACUGGCACGAGUCCGAUAGCGGACAAGUACCGUGAGGGAAAGUUGAAAAGAACUUUGAAGAGAGAGUUCAAUAGUACGUGAAACCGCUUAGAGGCAAACGGAUGGUGCUCAAAUUGGUGCAGGGGAUUCAGCUGUUGUAAUUUGUCGAGUGUGUGGUCGUGUAUAUAUAGAUCCUAUAAUCUGGGACUAGCGGCUGCUAUUCAUGUUGGCUAUUACACGGUGCACUUUCCCUGUUUUCACCUUCGCCACGACCGACGAAACUGGCCACCCACGGCUGGGGUAAGGUGGCAAGCUACUUCGGUAGUUUGUUUUAUAGACCCUGGCGUUGGAUAUUGUUUGGGCAGGACGUCGGAGUUCUAGCGGUGUCCGCUCGCACUCUGUGCGGGCUCGUAUGUCAGCUAGCUUGGCUGCGUCGAUGCCAGUACUGGUAACCAGUACUGGUGUUGGUUGUGGUCUUGUCUUCUAAUUGGCCUCUACGAGUUUUUGACACCUAUAGUCUGUGGUGUACUAGUGGGUAGACUAUCCGACCCGUCUUGAAACACGGACCAAGGAGUCUAACAUGUGCGCGAGUCAUGGGGACUCUACGAAACCCAAAGGCGUAGUGAAAGUAAAGGCUUGCUUCUCGCAGGCUUAGGUGAGAUCUCGUGCAUUAUGAUUGGCGAGCGCAUCACCGGCCCGUCCUAUCUGUCUCUGUCAGUGGGGCGGCGCAAGAGCGUACACGUUGGGACCCGAAAGAUGGUGAACUAUGCUUGCGCAGCUCGAAGUCAGUGGAAACACUGAUGGAGGAGCGCAGCGUUUCUGACGUGCAAAUCGAUCGUCAAACGUGAGUAUAGGGGCGAAAGACUAAUCGAACCAUCUA